rnacentral:pre_miRNA from 1 species
CCCACACCCAUGUGUGUAGGACCCCAAAGGAUCACCAUUAAAUAUGACACGGAUCUUUAGAAAAGUUAUCAUAAGAGUGUGGGACUUGACUGUUCUAGAGAUCUGUGUCCUAUUUAAUGGUGAUCUUUUGGGGUCCUACACACAUGGGUGAGGG